UCAGUUCCCGAAGAAGCACUCGGCAUGUGGGAGCGAAACGUCGGACAGCCCUGCCGGAGAGCCGACGGGGUGAAAAUCAACCCCCUUGGGAACUGGACAAGGGACUGCUGGAGGCUUGUAAUUUCACCGGCUGACUGUGGGAUACCCAUUGAUAGCAGCGUCACGCAGAACGCCCUUGGUUUGCCGUGGUCGCGAGAAGAAGUCUAAAUGCAACGUCAAAGUUGGGCCCCUUUAGUCCUUGAGUCCUUGAGUCGUACAUCCUAUUCAUAUAUUCUAUUGCAGAGUUUUUUGUUUCUUUAAUAAAAAUGUUUUACCCCCCCC